UUAACUCUUUUUAAUUCUGAAUUUUCAACUAUAUUUCUUUGAUAUUAUCGAAAAGUAUCUCUCUCUCUUAAUUGAAAAGUAUCUCUCUCUCGACAUUGUGAAGGCACUAAAGUCAGGGGUUUGCAGAGACGCAAUGGCAAAGACGAAGGGUGGUUCUGGAGGCCUUAGUAUAUUGUGUGUGAAACAUGAGCAUCUAUCGAAUUUGUUGCAACUGAGUUUUUUGGCUAUGUAUUGAGGUCUCGAGGCCGUCGCCAUCGGCAAAGUUGGCGAAGAUGGUGGAGGUUUAUGUGAAGAAUAGUGAUGAUAUACUACGUUUUAUAAACUCAGUUGAUGUUGCGCUACUUGAGGAUCAUAUGCUGCGUUUUAUAAACUCAGUUGAUGCUACGCUACUUGAGGAUGAAUGUUUCAUAUUAUAAACUCAGUUGAUGCUGAAACAUUUGAUUUGUACUGAAUAAAUGAGUUUUUGUUAAUUAUUGGUGGUUGAUUGUUUUAUAUUGAUUC